CACCUCUAGCAUUACUAGUAUUAGAGGCAUCGCCUGCCCAGUGACAUUAGUUAAACGGCCGCGGUAUCCUGACCGUGCAAAGGUAGCAUAAUCAUUUGUUCCUUAAUUAGGGACUUGUAUGAAUGGCCCCACGAGGGUUUGACUGUCUCUUACUUUUAAUCAGUGAAAUUGACCUCCCCGUGAAGAGGCGGGGAUAUGAAAAUAAGACGAGAAGACCCUAUGGAGCUUAAAUUAAUAUAUUCAACAGAAUUUAAAUCGCACCCAACAGGGAUAAUUAUAAUUAAACUGAAUAUAAAAUUUUGGUUGGGGUGACCUCGGAGAAUAAACAAGCCUCCGAGCAAUUUAACUAAGACUAACCCGUCAAAGUCACAUUACUUAUUGAUCCAAUCCUAUUGAUCAACGAAACAAGUUACCCUAGGGAUAACAGCGCAAUCCUAUUUGAGAGUUCAUAUCGACAAUAGGGUUUACGACCUCGAUGUUGGAUCAGGACACCCUAAUGGUGCAGCAGCUAUUAAAGGUUCGUUUGUUCAACG
rnacentral:rRNA from 1 species